rnacentral:rRNA from 1 species
CCUACGGGAGGCAGCAGUGAGGAAUAUUGGUCAAUGGACGAGAGUCUGAACCAGCCAAGUAGCGUGAAGGAUGACUGCCCUAUGGGUUGUAAACUUCUUUUAUAAAGGAAUAAAACGAGGCACGUGUGCCUUAUUGCAUGUACUUUAUGAAUAAGGAUCGGCUAACUCCGUGCCAGCAGCCGCGGUAAUACGGAGGAUCCGGGCGUUAUCCGGAUUUAUUGGGUUUAAAGGGAGCGUAGAUGGGUUGUUAAGUCAGUUGUGAAAGUUUGCGGCUCAACCGUAAAAUUGCAAUUGAUACUGGCAGUCUUGAGUACAGUUGAGGUAAGCGGAAUUCGUGGUGUAGCGGUGAAAUGCUUAGAUAUCACGAAGAACCCCGAUUGCGAAGGCAGCUUACUAAACUGUGACUGACAUUGAUGCUCGAAAGUGUGGGUAUCAAACAGGAUUAGAUACCCGAGUAGUC